AUCACUUCUCCAUUCCGCGUCUUUUCACGUCUUUUCUUUUGAAAUUAGCUUAAUACUAUUGUAAUUAAAGUAAAGAAGAUUGGAAAUCUCGAGAUGAACAAUAAAGUUGAGGACCGCAUAGACUCGUGCAGUGAUGAAGAUAGUCCUAAUAAUGACAAUCGUAAAUUAAAUCAGCAUCAGCAGCGCCAAACCCAACUAGAAAUGCAGAAGACCCUAGAUAACUAUUCUCGAUUUUUAGAGAAUAUGGAUGUUAUGGAUGUUUACUCGCAACGCCCCGUUUGUUUUGGGGCUCGGCAAGUGGAGCCCUCAAUUCCUAAUUUAAAAUGGAUGACCCAAAUGAAAACUAAGAAGUUAUAAUGCUAGUAUUGCAUUUUAAGAGAAGCAGAGUAUUGGAAUUUCAUUUCUAAAAGAUGAGGAAAUAACAGCGUCAUAUAUUUAUUUUUAUAUUGCCUACGGAUAAGAAGCUGCGGUUUAAGUAAAUAAAUGCGUUUGAGGAGUAUGUAAAUCAUGCAUAUGUACAUACAUACGUAAAACUUAUAGACCUGCACAGUAAUAGGUAAAUUAUCUUUAAAUAAACGAGCCGAGUCAGUCUGAAAAUAAGAUUAGUUCCGUGACGAUAACUUCUCGAGUCAAUUUUCUUGAAAUUAGCUUAAUAAGUAAUUAAUUCGAACGGGGUUGAGUAGUUUACAAGAUGGAUAGUGAAAUUAUAAGUGUCAAAACUUCGCGCAGUGUCAAAGACACCG